AUUGAACGCUGGCGGCAGGCCUAACACAUGCAAGUCGAGCGAGCGGCGGACGGGUGAGUAAUGUAUGGGGACUGCCCGAUAGAGGGGGAUAACUACUGGAAACGGUGGCUAAUACCGCAUACUAUCGGAUAACCCAUAGGGGAUUAGCUAGUAGGUGGGGUAAAGGCUCACCUAGGCGACGAUCUCUAGCUGGUCUGAGAGGAUGAUCAUGCACACUGGGCAUGAGACACAGCCCAGACUCCCAGGGAGGAAGCAGUGGGGAAUAUUGCACAAUGGGUGCAAGCCUAAUGCACCCAUGCCGCGGGUAUGAAGAGGGCCUUAGGGUUGUAAAGUACUUUCAGCGGGGAGGCGUUACCCGAAGAAGAAGCACCGGCUAACUCCGUGCCAGCAGCCGCGGUAAUAC
rnacentral:rRNA from 1 species